AUGAACGCUGGCGGCGUGGAUAAGGCAUGCAAGUCAAGGGGGUUUGUAGCAAUACAAACAACCGGCGAACGAGUUAGUAAUACCUUGGAACGUACUCCGAAGUCGGGCAUAACUUGCCGAAAGGCAGGCUAAUUCCCGAUAGUCUUGUAAAAGUAAAGAUGCAAAUCGCUUCGGAAGCGGCCUAGGUCCUAUCAGCUUGUUGGUGAGGUAACGGCUCACCAAGGCUACGACGGGUAGGGGGUGUGAGAGCACGGCCCCCAACGAUGACACUGCGAUACGGGUCAUACACCUACGGGUGGCUGCAGUCGAGAAUAUUCGACAAUGGGCGAAAGCCUGAUCGAGCGACGCCGCGUGUGGGAAGAAGUCCUUCGGGAUGUAAACCACUUUUGCGUGGGAAAAAUUUUGAUUGUACCACGAGAAUAAGGGGUUGCUAACCUCGU
rnacentral:rRNA from 1 species